GACAGAGGAUGCAAGCGUUAUCCGGAAUGAUUGGGCGUAAAGCGUCUGUAGGUGGUUUGACAAGUCUUCUGUCAAAGAUCAGGGCUUAACCCUGGGCAGGCAGGAGAAACUAUUAGGCUAGAGUUCGGAAGAGGCGAGUGGAAUUCCCGGUGUAGCGGUGAAAUGCGCAGAUAUCGGGAGGAACACCUAUGGCGAAGGCAGCUCGCUGGGACGUUACUGACGCUGAGACGCGAAAGCGUGGGGAGCAAACAGG
rnacentral:rRNA from 1 species